UACAGAGGUCCCAAGCGUUGUUCGGAUUCACUGGGCGUAAAGGGUGCGUAGGCGGUCGGAUAAGUCUGAUGUGAAAUCUUCGAGCUCAACUCGGAAACUGCAUCGGAAACUAUUCGGCUAGAGGAUUGGAGGGGAGACUGGAAUUCUCGGUGUAGCAGUGAAAUGCGUAGAUAUCGAGAGGAACACCAGUGGCGAAGGCGAGUCUCUGGACAAUUCCUGACGCUGAGGCACGAAAAGCUAGGGGAGCAAACAGG
rnacentral:rRNA from 1 species